rnacentral:misc_RNA from 1 species
GUUGGUUAGGUUGUUGUAAGAAACUGACAGGAAAGACAAAGAUUCUAGUGCUUGUAUGUCUGGUAAAAUCUGUCCCUCCAGCUGAUUAUAGGCAAGUCUAACUGCUUUUAGUGAUUUACAUGCAUAAAGGCUAGUGGGCAACCUACCUGUGAAGUUAUUGUUGCCGAGAUCAAGGAUGCUAAGUUGUUGAAGUCUGGAGAAAUUAUACGCAGAGAGUUCCCCUACCAAGAAAUUGACCCGCAAAUUCAAUGUCACUAGUUUGGUACAAUUCAUCAGAGAUGGAGGUAGAGAACCUGUGAGAUUGUUGAUGUGAAGCUGCAACUGUUCCAAUUUGGAGAGCUUGCCAAUAUCUCGGGGUAUAGACCCUAUCAAUUGAUUGGAGUAGAGAUCAAGAACCCUGAGGUUGCUGAGAUUGGCCAGAGAAUCACUGAUGGUGCCAGACAGGUUGUUGAGAGGUAAGGAGAGUUGUUCAAGCAAGACAACGUUGUAAAUAUCAUCAGGAAUUGUCCCUGAGAGAUUAUUAAAACCCGCAGAAAAAUUCCUAAGAUUGGAACAUUGCCCUAUUCCAGAGGGAAUACUGCCACUGAAAUCGUUGUAGGAGAAGUCUAGUGCUGUGAUGGACAGAAAAGAAACAAUGCAGAUGUUGGAUGGAAUUUGGCCUGUGAAGCUAUUGUUGCUAACAUUGAAGCUACUCAAAUUCCUAGCAAACUGGAGGAAUGAGUUGGAUGGAAUUACCCCACUGAAGCGGUUGCUAGACAAAUCCACUAUCCGGAUGGCGAUGUUGGCGGUGCUAUUAUCAUUGGAUGGUAAUUCCCCAAGUAGCCUAUUGUAGCUCAGAUCAAGAAUCUGGAGAUUAUCAAGAGAAGAGAAGAAUCCAGCAGGGAGAGUACCGAAGAGGCGAUUAUGGGAGAGAUUGAGUUGAGAUAGAUAAGUGAGAUUAGCAAGAGAAGGAGAGAGGACGCCACUGAGGCCCUUAAAGGGGAGCCACAGACGAGUGACGCGACCUGUUCCGCCACACUCAAUUCCUUCCCAGAGACAGCAAUCAAUGGAAGGUGACCAUUUCAAAGGAGAAGAUGAUAUAUUGGAGAAGAAGGGCAAGAGAGAAUCAUAAUCAUGUUGAUUGCAGGCAGCUGAAGCAUGGCAAGAAGGCAGUGACAGCACUAAUAUUACUGCCAGAACCAACAAGACCAUGACUGAGGAGGAGGAAGAAGGUCCUCUUGAUUCUCCUGGUCUUGGUACUUUUAAAUAACCCAAGCAAGCAAAGGCAACGAAGUUGUUGUCUUUAACACAAAUCAUGACCGUCCCCAUCAUCACUGGGACAAAAGAAGAAUGGCAAGAACGGGGAAUAAGGAAGAGUAAGAAGAGAAAAAGAAGACAAAGUACAAGAUUAUCUGGUCUCUAGGUGACCUUGGAGAAUAGCAGAAGAGAUGCGGGGAUUGCAGUGAAACCCCCGUUGACCAAAGGCAGAAAAAGGAGAAUGAAAUGAGAGAGGAAGGGGAAGUAGACAAUGGAUGUGGGGGCAUGACGUUGGUCAUUGAUAUUAUCAUGGCACUAAGGCUAUACAAAUGCAAAGAUAAAUA